rnacentral:rRNA from 1 species
GAUGAACGCUGGCGGCGUGCCUAAUACAUGCAAGUCGAACGAAGCCUUCGGGCUUAGUGGCGGACGGGUGAGUAACACGUUGGUACCUGCCUCGAAGUGGGGAAUAACUGGCCGAAAGGUCGGCUAAUACCGCAUGUGAUCGCAAGAUCAAAGUCGUAAGACGCUUCGAGAGGGGCCUGCGUCCCAUUAGCUAGUUGGUAGGGUAAUGGCCUACCAAGGCGACGAUGGGUAGCUGGAUCGAGAGGUUGACCAGCCACACUGGGACUGAGAUACGGCCCAGACUCCUACGGGAGGCAGCAGUAAGGAAUCUUCCACAAUGGACGAAAGUCUGAUGGAGCAACGCCGCGUGCAGGAUGACGGCCUUCGGGUUGUAAACUGCUUUUAUAUGGGAAGAUUAUGACGGUACCAUAUGAAUAAGGACCGGCUAACUACGUGCCAGCCGCCGCCGUAA